rnacentral:rRNA from 1 species
UAGUCUACGCCGUAAACGAUGGACAUUAACAGUUUGGGGAUUCGACCCCCUGAGUUGUAAAGCUAACGCGUUAAAUGUCCCGCCUGGGGAGUACGGUCGCAAGAUUAAAACUCAAAGGAAUAGACGGGGACCCGCACAAGCGGUGGAGCGUGUUCUUUAAUUGGAAGAUACGCCAAGAACCUUACCAGGGCUUGACAUCUCAGGAAAGCCUUCGAAAGAAGACUGUGCCUUUUGGAACCUGAUGACAGGUGCUGCAUGGCCGUCGUCAGCUCGUGUUGUGAAAUGUCGGGUUAAGUCCCUUAACGAGCGCAACCCUUAUGAUAUAGUUGUAUUUUUUCUAUACAGACUGCCACGGUAACGUGGAGGAAGGAGGGGAUGACGUCAGGUCCUCAUUGCCCUUACGCCCUGGGCUAGAAACGCGCUACAAUGGCCAGUACAGUGGGGCCGCGAAGCAGUAAUGUGGAGCAAAUCCCCCAAAGCUGGUCCCAGUUCGGAUUGGAGGCUGAAACUCGCCUCCAU